UUCUUGGAGAGUUUGAUCCUGGCUCAGGACGAACGCUGGCGGCGUGCCUAAUACAUGCAAGUCGAGCGAAUCUUUAGGAGCUUGCUCC
rnacentral:rRNA from 1 species